GCGAUUCAUCUGUUUCAUCUUAUCCAGACUCCCCGUCCUCGCGGCGCUUUACCUCGCGGCGCUCCGCUCCGCCCCGCCCCGCCCACCUCCUGCUACGCCCCUCGCGCCGCCGGCCGCCUCCUGCCCCGCUCCGCCCCUCACCACGCGCCGCCGGCCUUCUCCUGCCUCCCAAUCCCAUCUCGCGGCUUUCUUCGCCGUUCACCGCUCCCCUCCACCUACUGGUCGCGACCUCGUGGGAGGCAGAGGAUGGGAGGGUGCGGCGCUGGCGUCCGACUCCAGGAGCUCGAGAGGGCCGAUCUGCGCGUCGGCGACCUCGCGGGAGGCAUGGCGUGGCGUGUUGCGCUCGAGACGAGCGGGCUCGAGUAAGGGGAUUGGAGGGUGGCGCCGGCGGGAUCGUGGACGGGGAUGGAGUGGGCGGGUGCCGGCAAGAUCGAGGCCGGGGAUGGAGAGGGCGGUCGGCGAGCUGGCGGCUGAGGAUGGAAGAGGCGGCACUAAUUCUCUGCUACCCGCACCGCACCACGUCCCUAGCUUCCUCCUCUCUGAUCGAACCGAGUCCGUUUUACAAAGGGAUCCGGCGACUAGAGGGGAGCUGCCACCGGUGACGCUGCCGGAGAAGCUGGCGAGGUUCCUCCAGAAGUGCGCCGAAGGAGUUCCAGAACGAGCCCCGGUAUAGCGGCGACCGGUGGUACCUUCGCGGCUGGGUUCCAGAUGAACAGGCAUGGUGGGAGGGCGAUGCUCUGUUGACUGCUUUUCUUAUAAUAUUACAGAGGGAGGAUCGAAGUGGAGAUUGGUACUUUCCCUUUCAGCGGCCAAAGAAAAGCAACACUUUUUCAUGUGAUUUCAGAUGAAACGACCAGAGUGUGUAAAAUCUGGAUCGCUACAAACAGGUCAAGAAUAACUUCUCCAAGCUCUCAGAAGAGAAGCAAUAAUGUGACUCCCAGGUGCCUCUCUGAGAGAAAAGCUGGAGAUGCUUUGCCAGUGGCAAAACAAAGGGAAGUAAUUGCUACGGACGCCAGCCAGGUGUUCAUGCUAUUGGAUUAAUGUUUUCUGCUCUUAAUAAUGCUUCCGUUUUUCUUCUUUUAGAACCCUUCUUUUGUACUCUUACAAAUAGCAGAUGAAAGGAGAAGGAUGAAGAAGUCAAGCUAUUGGAGAGAUCAAUUGAGGAGCUCAAAAUAACUUUAGUGUUCUCAAAAGUAGCUUUAUUUAGUUUGAGUGAAUUUUGUGGCCUAAGUGUUGUAGCUAUUCAUUUUGCCACGCAUUCUGAAUGUUAGUACACACCCAUGUUGGUACAGAACUCCUAUUGUUAUGCCUGUCAUGACAACAACUUUUCCAGAUUUUUGUGCAUAAACAUACAUAUGUGGACUAAAUUCUUUUGUUACUUGCUCAGCCAAUACAUAUGUAUGCUCUUUUUUUUGCGGGUGAAUACAUAUGUAUGCUAAUAUAGUUAUUGGUGUUAUGAUAUUGGUUGAGUCAAUUAUACCAUUUACAAUAUUCAAAUAGGCUUUGAGUUUGGUAUAUGCAAAAUGUUUACAAACUAUUAACGUCUAAGUGAUAACUAAUAAAAAAAAUAUGCAUCGUGCAUUCAUCCAUCUAUGGUAACUAUGCAAGCAUGCAUGACUAACAUUUGUUUUUCAAAUUUUCAAUCAUUUUUCUCAAGAAUUGUCCUUCUUAUCUCGGAUGAGAUAUAUUGAUGCAUUCCUAUAUUUUCAUAUACUUCUAAUCCCUGAAAACACAAGACAAAUCCUAAAAGAAGUUACUUUUUGUAAUUAAAAUUGCUAGCAAUGACCUUUUUGUUUUACGCUAUUAAAUAUCUUAUGAUCUGAACAUCAUGCACCUGCCUGGAAACACAUAUUAGCAUUGACCAGUGAAUUUUCACUAAGAAAAGAGAGCCGGAUAUUUUUCUCCCGUUGCAACGCACGGGCCUUUUUGCUAGUCUCUCUCUAAUAAUAAAGCACAGAUUGACUUUGUCGGGUUCACCGUCACAAUACGCUUCUUUCCAUAAGUUUAUGCUUUCACUGGGAAUUUAAAACAUAUACACGUGGUACUGAUAAAAUUUGGUACGUCGUCGUUCCCGUUCGCUCGUCCAAAAAUCCCCAUCACGAUCUGAAAAUCCCCAUUGCCGUGAGGCUCCACCUAACCCACCUCCAUCCCCUGGCUUCGGCGCGCCUCCCGCCGACGGCCCUCCCAACCCCAACGCGCCUCACGUCAUCGUCGCCCGGCACCGGCCCCGGCAUGCCUCCCACCACCGGCGCCCAUCCCCCGACGUGCCUCUCCAUCCCCAGCACGCCCCCACCAUCAGACCUCGGCUGGCGACCGCAUCCCCUGGCUCGGCUGCACGUGACCGGGAUCCCCCAUCUCCCAGGAAACCUCGCUGGUGCACGCCACCUCCCUCCUCCUAAGGUUGGGAGCGGUGUGAACUUUGAACGGAUCAGUGGUUGGACCAUCAGCAGUUAACUGCACCAACACGACUGACGCCACCUCGCACGCCUUCGUCUUCGUCGACGGCGGUCAGCACCUCCAACGCAAAUCGAUUCAGCGCCGUCUGUGCAUGGCUCGGCUCAUGCGCUCUGCUGCUGCCACGGGACCCAGUGCACCUCCCGUCCUCUGCUUUUCUCCGUGCGGAACUGUCUGUCUCGUGUCACUGCUUGCACCUGCUACUGCUGGGAAUACGCUGUCCCGCGACGCCCUGUACUCAAUCUGUACCCGUGCUCUCUCUGGUCUCACGAACCAUCCCUACGGCCGCAAAGCUUCUCUUAGACCGGCCGCCAUGCAUCAAACUGAACUGCUGAGUUCAUUCCCCCAAAGUCCUGCAGAGCUUAUAGUAAAGAGGCGUACCCCGAUCUCCUCCGUUACUUAACAAUAUGGUGUGCUUUCUGAUGGAACGGACUCGUAGUAAACUAGGCAAAAAAUCUCAUGUUU